rnacentral:lncRNA from 1 species
UUAAUCUUCUUCAUAUCUUCAAGUCUUGUUCUUGAAGAUUCAACAUCCUUUCUAGUAAACUUCAAGAUAGUGUGAAGAUCUAAGGUUGUUCCCAAGGUGUUGUCAAGUGAAUACAAGCUUCCUAUCAUCCCAUAACUUACUUGAAUCUUGAAGUGUUUCAUGUUCUUGAAUGAUGGAAAAAAAUGCAAGUAUUUGGACAAAUAAAUAAUUUGAGGGAUUGUGUUAGCAUAUAAAAACGCACCCAAAGGUGAGUACAUAGUUCCCCUAUUUUACUGUUUUCAAUUGUUUUGGGGUGAUUCAUAUGUAUCAAAACGAUUUCGAUGUUU